UUCUGGCUCAGACGAACGCUGGUGGCGUGUCUAUACAUGCAAGUCGAGCGAGGCAGCAAUGCCGAGCGGCGAACGGGUGAGUAACGCGUAAGCAAUCUGCCCCAUAUCAGGAAAUACCCGUGCCAACGCGCGGUUAACGUCCAGGAGAGUGGCUCCUUGCAUGAGGAGUUGACUAGAGAUUUAUCGGUAUGGGAUGAGCUUGCGUCCGAUUAGCUAGUUGGCGGGGCAACGGCCCACCAAGGCGACGAUCGGUAGCCGGCCUGAGAGGGUGAUCGGCCACAUUGGGACUGAGAUACGGCCCAGACUCCUACGGGAGGCAGCAGUAGGGAAUAUUGCACAAUGGGGGAAACCCUGAUGCAGCAACGCCACGUGUGGGAAGAAGCAUUUCGGUGUGUAAACCACUGUCAUGAGGGAAUAAGGCCCGCUUUCGGGCGGGAUUGAAUGUACCUUGAGAGGAAGCACCGGCAAACUUCGUGCCAGCAGCAGC
rnacentral:rRNA from 1 species